rnacentral:lncRNA from 1 species
UGCCCCUCUAACCACUAGGCUACCUGCCCCUCUAACCACUAGGCUACCUGCCCCUCUAACCACUAGGCUACCUGCCCCUCUAACCACUAGGCUACCUGCCCCUCUAACCACUAGGCUACCUGCUGCUCUAACCACUAGGCUACCACCCGCCCCAACGCUCUAACCACUAGGCUACCACCCGCCCCAACGCUCUAACCACUAGGCUACCUGCUGCUCUAACCACUAGGCUACCACCCGCCCCAACGCAUAGUCAGAACUACCCGUCUGAUUAUUCCACAUUUAGCUCUGAGUUAUACGGUAAGUAACUACAUGCUGUUCAUGAUCAGUAACAUCAGUUGAUCAUGUAGUUUCAGAUACCUGAGGGUGGCCUAUCCAUUUGGCAUGUAGCUAACUAAGCAAACCUUUCAUUUAGUUGGCUUCAUCAGAGAUGAGGCUUUUGGAAAGACCUUGACAUCAGCAAGUCCUCGUCCUGGUGAAGUGGUCAGUUGGACUUCUGUCAUCACCACUAUAGAUGGCAAGCUAAUCAAGUUCAAGUUUAUCCCCAGGAAGUUAGCUCGUUAACCAGCCCAUAUUGACCCGAUCUGUUAUUAGCUAGCUAGCCAAUUUGACGUGAUCCAUCAAUCAAUGAAGCCCAUCUAUAAUUUCUGUCAGCAGCAAUAGUGACUAAACACUUAAAAAAAACAAUGUUGAGAAGUGGAUAAUGUUAGCUAACUUUGCUAGGUAGGCCUACGUUGGUUGGAGAAAGAAGUACAGUAGGUCUAUUUACCUCUGUUUAGCCUGUAACAAGUUUAUACCGGUAGCUUGUAAAUAUUAUCAGCUAACUACAUUGGUAAAAUGAGCCCUUCUGCUGCUUGACAGGAAGAGCCCACAAAGGACAGGAAAUGAACCUAAACCACUCAUUCUUGUCGGGUAUAGUUUACUUUUAUAUCACUCAAAUAUCCAAUCAAUGGUGGCCAAUAUUGAGAGAGAUCGUCAGGCUACGUAUCUGAAAUGGCCAUGAACAGCAUGCAGUUACUGCUGUAUAACUGAUACAGCAGAAUGUGGAAAUAUCUGACAUUUGUAUUUCUAUGCUCUUCCAGAGGUGACGACACCAAACGCUCUGCACCUUAUUGUGACGUUUUACUGAUAACCUAUUCUAAACAUUCUAGCCAGUCCAAGGGUCGUUCCAUGAAAUGAGUGCCCUAUGAUUAUUUUAAGUAGAAAUAGUGUGCAAAUAUUGAAUUUUAAAAGCCUGUUAUAUUAAAUGAAAUGCCCUUUAAAACCCACUGGGCACAGACGUCCAUUCAAUGUCUAUUCCACAUUAGUAACCCAUACAUGACUUCUCUAUGGAAAGGGGAGACCCUGAAGGUAACCCAUACAUGACUUCUCUAUGGAAGGGGAGACCCUGAAGGUAACCCAUACAUGACUUCUCUAUGGAAGGGGAGACCCUGAAGGUAACCCAUACAUGACUUCUCUAUGGAAGGGGAGACCCUGAAGGUAACCCAUACAUGACUUCUCUAUGGAAGGGGAGACCCUGAAGGUAACCCAUACAUGACUUCUCUAUGGAAGGGGAGACUCUAAAGGUAACCCAUACAAACCAAUGGAAGUAUGGAGAUACUUUUGUGGCCACAAAAGUAAGGGGUUAAAUAUGUCCUGAGCUUUCUUAUAUCUCCUAGACAUGGGACAGACACUUCAAAACCUUAUUCCUUAUGAUUUAUUUUUGGACUGUCUUUUUUUCCAUUUAUGAAUGCGUAAUUCAAUACAUUUCUAUGGGCUAUAGUAGUAAAUAUUUCAUUUCGAUACCUAAAGGGGUCCUAAAAUUCAAAAUGAAAUAGCUAAAUCAUCCAUUGUAUGAACAUCUUAAAACAAUUCCAUAUGUUAGCUUAGUUUUUUUUUCUUUAACCUCUUGAGAUGGGUUAAUGUGUUUUUAUUUUAAUUUUUUUAUUAACAGAAUGUUAAUGAAUGACAGAAUGUUAAAAUUAGGUGAAACAAUUAUUUAUUUAUUUUACACUUUUCAAAAGGAACCCAAUUCGUCGAACGACCCCUAAACUUUCUAAACGUUCUAAAUGAUCUAAACAUCCACUAAAAAACCAAAACACUUUGGAACGGUCUGAAUUGUCAGCCAAAUAUUCAGGAGAGACUUGGUGCUUUUGUUUUUGUCAGAUGGGUUACAAGAGCGAGGAUCUGUCUUUGAUUAUUUUCAGUGUGUUUUGAGUUUGGAGAAUUACCUGUCAAGUGCAUGUGUGUCCUUAAGAGCAGCAGUUUAACAUCAGCACUACCCCACACAACUCCUGUAACAUCUCACAAUAUCUCCAGUUUAUCUCUGCUCCAUGAUCACUAGCAUGUUAUCAUUCCAGAAGAGGAGACUUUUUAACUUUGAGCAUUUUAGUUUUCUCUGUCACAUGGAGUAAAUUAUAAUUCCCCUCUCUAAUUAAUGUUAAUGGAAGCCAUGAAGAUUCAGGCUGAGUGUCAGGAAGAGCCAGGAGGUGUCCGGACCGUGACAAAGUGAUGUUAACAGCCUGCCAGUUUCACUAAACACUCCUGUUAUAUAUCUGUCCUGUAUCUUCUAUUGUUAUCAGACACACUACAGCCUUCCCUGUAGCUCAGUUGGUAGAGCAUGGUGUGUGCAACACCAGGGUUGUGGGUUCGAUUCCCACGGGGGGCCUGCACACAAAAAAAAAAAGAAAAAAAAGGAUGAAAUGUAUGUAUUCACUACUGUAAGUUGCUCUGGAUAAGAGCGUCUGCUAAAUGACUAAAAUAAAC